rnacentral:rRNA from 1 species
AUGGUAUGUGAAAUUUACAUCAAAUGGUUCAGGAGCUGGCACCUCCUCAGCAUGGGAAGGCCACGUGUGACGACAUUGCUGUUGAGGAGAACAGUGGCGAGGGAGGCUGGGGAAAACAAAAUCAGGGUGUGGAAUUGUGUUUACUCUAGGUAUGUUUUCACAGCUUCACAUGUCCAUCUCAAUUCCUACCCAUCUACCCUUAAUCUUUCUCUUGAUUCUAUACAGGUUAGGUCAAUGUGGGUUUAUACCUUGGUACAAAACUUUGCGAGGACUCAUCUUCUUGGGAUGCAAAAUGGGUAA